ensembl:lncRNA
AAAGUGAAUCCUAUUUCAUUAUCAAAACUCCAAAACCUUUGACACAUUUUAAAAGAUUAGGAAGAGGACAUACAGUUGCUUACGGCCAUACCUCUCUGGCUCCGCCUGAUCUCGUCUGAUCUCAGAAGCUAAGCAGAGUAGGGCCUGGUUAGUACUUGGAUGGAAGACCGCCUGGGAAUCCCAUGUGCCGUAAGCUUUUUCAUUUCUAUCUGUAAAAGACACAGAGAAGGCCUUAGAAAGUGACUCCAUUUCAUUGUCAAAACUCCAAAACCUUUGACACAUUUUAAAAGAUUAGGAAGAGGACAUACAGUUGCUUACGGCCAUACCUCUCUGGCUCCGCCUGAUCUCGUCUGAUCUCAGAAGCUAAGCAGAGUAGGGCCUGGUUAGUACUUGGAUGGAAGACCGCCUGGGAAUCCCAGGUGCCGUAAGC